GGAAAAUGAUAAUGAGAUGCGUCAUCUUUACUCUCUUAUUGAUUGUUACAGAGCUCCAUGAAUAGAUGAACUUGCAGUUGUGCUGCUGAGGGACUUGGAAAGUAAUACUGGAGAGGCCAUCUUCUUUCAGCUUUGGCAACAGAUGAGCAAUUAAGACUGAGAGAAGAUUAAAAAUUUCCUUAUGCCAAACAUUCUGCAGUAGACAGCUUGCCUCUACAGUUAGAAAAAACAAGCUGGAAUAAUUUCACCUAGUUCUUGGACUCUCUGAAGUUACUUCACGAGAAUGACCUUGAGUUUGGUAAGAUCUUAGGUUAGACCUGAGUUGACCUUAGAAUCUGUGUUUAUACAACUUUCCAUUUUUGAUCAACUGUAGAAACUAAGCUCCAA